rnacentral:rRNA from 1 species
UGCAGUCGNNCGAUUAAGACUCUCUUCGGAGAGUGUAUAAAGUGGCGCACGGGUGAGUAACACGUAAGUAAUCUACCCUCGAGUGGGGAAUAACAUCGGGAAACCGAUGCUAAUACCGCAUAACGCAGCGGCACCGCAAGGUGACAGUUGUUAAAGGAGCAAUCCGCUUGAGGAGGAGCUUGCGGCAGAUUAGCUAGUUGGUGAGGUAAUGGCUCACCAAGGCUACGAUCUGUAUCCGGCCUGAGAGGGCGGUCGGACACACUGACACUGAAUAACGGGUCAGACUCCUACGGGAGGCAGCAGUCGGGAAUUUUGGGCAAUGGGCGAAAGCCUGACCCAGCAACGCCGCGUGAGGGAUGAAGUAUUUCGGUAUGUAAACCUCGAAAGAAUGGGAAGAAUAAAUGACGGUACCAUUUAUAAGCUCCGGCUAACUACGUGCCAGCAGCCGCGGUAAUACGUAGGGAGCAAGCGUUGUUCGGAUUUACUGGGCGUAAAGGGCGCGUAGGCGGCGCGGUAAGUCACUUGUGAAAUCUCUGAGCUUAACUCAGAACGGCCAAGUGAUACUGCUGUGCUAGAGUGCGGAAGAGGCAACCGGAAUUCUUGGUGUAGCGGUGAAAUGCGUAGAUAUCAAGAGGAACACCUGANGCGAANGCGGGUUGCUGGGCCGACACUGACGCUGAUGCGCGAAAGCCAGGGGAGCAAACGGGAUUAGAUACCCCGGUAGUCCUGGCCCUAAACGAUGAAUACUUGGUGUCUGGAGUUUCAAUGCUCCGGGNGCCGUCNCUAACGUUUUAAGUAUUCCGCCUGGNGAGUACGCUCGCAAGA